UACGUAGGGGGCAAGCGUUGUCCGGAUUCAUUGGGCGUAAAGAGCGUGUAGGCGGCCAGGCAGGUCCGCUGUGAAAACUCGAGGCUCAACCUCGAGAGGUCGGUGGAAACCGUCUGGCUAGAGUCCGGAAGAGGAGAGUGGAAUUCCCGGUGUAGCGGUGAAAUGCGCAGAUAUCGGGAAGAACACCCGUGGCGAAGGCGGCUCUCUGGGACGGUACUGACGCUGAGACGCGAAAGCGUGGGGAGCGAACAGG
rnacentral:rRNA from 1 species